rnacentral:rRNA from 1 species
UACGUAGGCAGCGAGCGUUGUUCGGAGUUACUGGGCGUAAAGCGUGCGUAGCGGUGCCAUAAGUCUGUUGUGAAAUCUCCCGGCUUAACUGGGAGGGUGCGGUGGAAACUGUGGUGCUGGAGUGUGGGAGAGGUAGGCGGAAUUCCUGGUGUAGCGGUGAAAUGCGCAGAUAUCAGGAGGAACACCGGUGGCGAAGGCGGGUCUCUGGGCCGAUGACUGACGCUGAGGAGCGAAAGCGUGGGGAGCGAACAGGA